CAGCAGCCGCGGUAAUACGAGGGGGGCAAGCGUUGUUCGGAUUUAUUGGGCGUAAAGGGUGCGUAGGCGGUUUGGCAAGUCUUAUGUGAAAUCUAUGGGCUCAACCCAUAGCCUGCAUGAGAAACUACCGGGCUUGAGUGAUGGAGAGGUGAGUGGAAUUUCCGGUGUAGCGGUGAAAUGCGUAGAUAUCGGAAGGAACACCUGUGGCGAAAGCGGCUCACUGGACAUUAACUGACGCUGAUGCACGAAAGCUAGGGGAGCAAACAGGAUUAGAUACCCCUGUAGUCCCUGUCUCUUAUAC
rnacentral:rRNA from 1 species